rnacentral:lncRNA from 1 species
CACAAGGAAACAACAACAACGCCUUCACAAAUAUGCACCAUUUUUUGCCCCCUCCUCUUUUUUCCCGAAACCCGUCUGAAUUCCAGGGACUGGCACCUCCCUCAGACAAAAACUUGUCACUUUCAUCUGCGACGAUCUAGCGUGACUCCCCUGCAGCUUCUGUGGUCAUACAUUCCCCCCGUUGCCAGGAUGCGAAGCUCAGACAACAGAACGUCCUUGUUGUUUGAUUCGACACGGCCAGCAGUCACCAUGAGGACCCAGUGUGCCACUGUGGAUUUCGUACUCCGCGUACUAAAGG